rnacentral:rRNA from 1 species
CCUACGGGUGGCAGCAGUGGGGAAUAUUGGACAAUGGGCGAAAGCCUGAUCCAGCCAUGCCGCGUGUGUGAAGAAGGCCUUCGGGUUGUAAAGCACUUUCAGUGGGGAAGAAAGCCUUGGGGCUAAUACCCUCGAGGAAGGACAUCACCCACAGAAGAAGCACCGGCUAACUCCGUGCCAGCAGCCGCGGUAAUACGGAGGGGUGCGAGCGUUAAUCGGAAUUACUGGGCGUAAAGCGCGCGUAGGCGGUCUGAUAAGCCGGUUGUGAAAGCCCCGGGCUCAACCUGGGAACGGCAUCCGGAACUGUCAGGCUAGAGUGCAGGAGAGGAAGGUAGAAUUCCCGGUGUAGCGGUGAAAUGCGUAGAGAUCGGGAGGAAUACCAGUGGCGAAGGCGGCCUUCUGGACUGACACUGACGCUGAGGUGCGAAAGCGUGGGUAGCAAACAGGAUUAGAUACCCGAGUAGUC